rnacentral:snoRNA from 1 species
AUUCUGCUAUGUCGACACUUCCUGACUAUCUCCUUAAAUCUCUCCCAUGCUUCAAAAACUGUUUCAUCUCUUUCUGACAGAAGUUAUGGAUUUGUCUUCUAAACUU